GACGUAGGAGGCGAGCGUUAUCCGGAUUUACUGGGCGUAAAGGGCAAGUAGGCGGUCGCCAAAGUUGGGCGUGACAUCUCUCGGCUCAACCGGGAGGGUGCGCUCAAAACUAGGCGACUAGAGGGCAGGAGAGGGAAGCGGAAUUCCGAGUGUAGCGGUGGAAUGCUCAGAUAUUCGGAAGAACACCAGUGGCGAAGGCGGCUUCCUGGCCUGCACCUGACGCUGAGAGGCGAAAGCUAGGGUAGCAAAC
rnacentral:rRNA from 1 species